rnacentral:rRNA from 1 species
CAGCCGCCGCGGUAAUACGUAGGUGGCAAGCGUUGUCCGGAAUUAUUGGGCGUAAAGGGCUCGCAGGCGGUUUCUUAAGCCUGAUGUGAAAGCCCCCGGCUCAACCGGGGAGGGUCAUUGGAAACUGGGAAACUUGAGUGCAGAAGAGGAGAGUGGAAUUCCACGUGUAGCGGUGAAAUGCGUAGAGGUGUGGAGGAACACCAGUGGCGAAGGCGACUCUCUGGUCCGUAACUGACGCUGAGGAGCGAAAGCGUGGGGAGCGAACAGGAUUAGAUACCCGCGUAGUCCCUGUCUCUUAUAC